GGGUCAGGGUUAGGGUUAGGGUGAGGUUACACUGAUUUAAAGGGUGAGUGUGUGUGUGAGGUUACACUGAUUUAAAGGGUGAGUGUGAGUGUGUGUGUGAGUGUGUGUGUGUGAGUGUGAGGUCACACUGAUUUAAAGGGUGAGUGUGUGUGAGUGUGAGUGUGUGUGUGUGUGAGGUUACACUGAUUUAAAGGGUUAGUGUGAGUGUGUGUGUGUGUGAGGUUACACUGAUUUAAAGGGUGAGUGUGUGUGUGAGGUUACACUGAUUUAAAGGGUGUGUGUGAGGUUACACUGAUUUAAAGGGUGAGUGUGAGUGUGUGUGUGAGGUUACACUGAUUUAAAGGGUGAGUGUGAGGUGGUCCACUGAGGCACUUAGAUGUUUCACACUUCUGUGUGUCGUCCUUGAUGAGUGUGUGCGAGAGAGAGAGUGUGUAUGUGUGUGUACAGGAGAUUUUAGCUUUGUGUGUGUGUGAGAGAGAGAAAAAGAGAAGGAGAGAGAGAGUGAGUGUGUGUUUGCACUUUUUGAAGUAUGAUCGGAACAUGAUAUGGUAUAACAUGAU
ensembl:lncRNA